GCCGAUGAAGGACGUUACUAACGACGAUAUGCUUUGGGGAGCUGUAAGUAAGCUUUGAUCCAGAGAUUUCCGAAUGGGGAAACCCAGCAUGAGUUAUGUCAUGUUAUCGAUAUGUGAAUACAUAGCAUAUCAGAAGGCACACCCGGAGAACUGAAACAUCUUAGUACCCGGAGGAAGAGAAAGAAAAUUCGAUUCCCUUAGUAGCGGCGAGCGAAACGGGAAGAGCCCAAACCAACAAGCUUGCUUGUUGGGGUUGUAGGACACUCUAUACGGAGUUACAAAGGACGACAUUAGACGAAUCAUCUGGAAAGAUGAAUCAAAGAAGGUAAUAAUCCUGUAGUCGAAAAUGUUGUCUCUCUUGAGUGGAUCCUGAGUACGACGGAGC
rnacentral:rRNA from 1 species